rnacentral:rRNA from 1 species
AGGACGAACGCUGGCGGCGUGCCUAACACAUGCAAGUCGAACGAGGUUAAUCCGGUAGCAAUACUGGUGACUGCCUAGUGGCGAACGGGUGAGUAGCACGUGAGCAACCUGCCCCGAAGACCGGGACAACACCGGGAAACCGGUGCUAAUACCGGAUACCCCCACCUAAUCGCAUGAUCUGGUGAAGAAAUGGAUUCCGCUUCGGGAGGGGCUCGCGGCCUAUCAGCUAGUUGGUGAGGUAACGGCUCACCAAGGCUUCGACGGGUAGCUGGUCUGAGAGGACGAUCAGCCACACUGGGACUGAGACACGGCCCAGACUCCUACGGGAGGCAGCAGUGGGGAAUCUUGCACAAUGGGCGAAAGCCUGAUGCAGCAACGCCGCGUGAGGGACGAAGGCUUUCUGAGUUGUAAACCUCUUUCAGCGAGGGACGAUUGUGACGGUACCUGCAGAAGAACGCCCGGCAACUACGUGCCAGCAGCCGCGGUAA